GGGACUGUGGCGUAACAGGUAGCCGCAAGAGACUUAAAAUCUCUCGCUUUCGAGCGUGCCGGUUCGAGUCCGGCCAGUCCUACCA
rnacentral:tRNA from 1 species